CCUACGGGAGGCAGCAGUAAGGAAUAUUGGUCAAUGGGGGCAACCCUGAACCAGCCAUGCCGCGUGCAGGAUGAAGGCCCUAUGGGUCGUAAACUGCUUUUAUACCGGAGAAAACCCCCGUACGUGUACGGGGUUGAUAGUAUGGUAAGAAUAAGCAUCGGCUAACUUCGUGCCAGCAGCCGCGGUAAGACGAAGGAUGCAAGCGUUAUCCGGAUUCAUUGGGUUUAAAGGGUGCGUAGGCGGACCUGUAAGUCAGUGGUGAAAUCUCUUUGCUUAACAAAGAAACUGCCAUUGAUACUGCAAGUCUAGAGUAUAGAUGACGUUGGCGGAAUAUGACAUGUAGUGGUGAAAUACUUAGAUAUGUCAUAGAACACCGAUUGCGAAGGCAGCUAACGAAACUAUAACUGACGCUGAGGCACGAAAGUGCGGGGAUCAAACAGGAUUAGAUACCCUGGUAGUCCGCACCGUAAACGAUGAUUACUCGUUGUUGGCAAUAUGACCGUCAGCGACCAAGCGAAAGCGAUAAGUAAUCCACCUGGGGAGUACGCCGGCAACGGUUGAAACGUUAAAUUGAAAUUGACGGCUUGGNGAGNGCGACGACGACGACGAGGGAGAGG
rnacentral:rRNA from 1 species